rfam:Gossypium arboreum cultivar AKA8401 contig_38635_1, whole genome shotgun sequence.
AACUUAUGAUGAGGGCAACUUUUCAAUAAGUCUUUGUAUCUCUCCCAUGCAUCAUAUAAAGUCUCUACAUCAAUCUGCACAAAGGAGGAGAUGUCAUUCCUCAACUU